CAAAAGCAAAUGAGCACUGGUUUUAGUUCCCUUGUUCCUUAUUUACCCUAUUGAAACAGAUACUCCUGUACCUAGUGCUGUGAAGUACAAUGAUGUGAAUUCAUCAAAACAUGCAUUAAGGGGCAACACUACACAAGGGAAAAGCCUGUGAAGCCCCCUCUUCAAAGCUUUCUUUUUUGGAGUUGUCAUGCCAAAGGAGGAUUUAAUUAGGGUUCUGUAUGUGCAUUUCCAAUGGAAAUGGUCACACUUGGGCCACCAUGCUAGAUAAAACUUCUUUAAAGCACCUGAGAGAGAGAGAGAGAGAGAGAAAGAACACCUCCAGAGAGCAGCCUGCUGAUAGAACCUACUUCUAA
rnacentral:lncRNA from 1 species